GCCUCAAGGCAUAUGAUAGCUCAGUUGGUACAGCAUGAAACUCUUAAUCUCAGGGUCUUGGGUUCAAGCCCCAUGCUGGGCA